AAUAUUGGACAAUGGGGGGAACCCUGAUCCAGCCAUGCCUCGUGUGUGAAGAAGGUCNNNGGUUUNUAAAGCACUUUAAGUUGNGAGNAAGGGUUGUAGGUUACUACCCUGCAAUUUUGACGUUACCAACAGAAUAAGCACAGGCUAACUCUGUGCCAGCAGCCGCGGUAAUACAGAGGGUGCAAGCGUUAAUCGGAAUUACUGGGCGUAAAGCGCGCGUAGGUGGUUCAGUAAGAUGGAAGUGAAAUCCCCGGGCUUAACCUGGGAACUGCUUUCAUAACUGCUGAGCUAGAGUACGGUAGAGGGUAGUGGAAUUUCCUGUGUAGCGGUGAAAUGCGUAGAUAUAGGAAGGAACACCAGCGGCGAAGGCGACUACCUGGACUGAUACUGACACUGAGGUGCGAAAGCGUGGGGAGCAAACAGG
rnacentral:rRNA from 1 species